CUCGGGGAUAGCCUUUCGAAAGAAAGAUUAAUACCCGAUAGCAUAAUGAUUCCGCAUGGUUUCAUUAUUAAAGGAUUCCGGUAAAGGAUGGGGAUGCGUUCCAUUAGGUUGUUGGUGAGGUAACGGCUCACCAAGCCUUCGAUGGAUAGGGGUUCUGAGAGGAAGGUCCCCCACAUUGGAACUGAGACACGGUCCAAACUCCUACGGGAGGCAGCAUG
rnacentral:rRNA from 1 species